CAAUAGCGUAUAUUAAAGUUGUUGCGGUUAAAAGCUCGUAGUUGGAUUUCUGCUUGGGGCAACCGGUCCGCCCUCUGGGUGAGUAUCUGGCUUGGCCCGGGCAUCUUCUUGGGGAACGGUUACUGCACUUGACUGUGUGGUGCGGAGCCCAGGACCUUUACUUUGAGGAAAUUAGAGUGUUUCAAGCAGGCAUUUGCCUUGAAUACAUUAGCAUGGAAUAAUAAGAUAGGACCUCGUCCCUACCUUGUUGGUUCGUAUGGAUGAGGUAAUGAUUAAUAGGGAUAGUCGGGGGCGAUUCGUACUUAACUGUCAGAGGUGGAAAUUACUUUGGAUUUGUUUAAAG
rnacentral:rRNA from 1 species